GUGCUCGCCUUGUUUCAAUCCACUCACACCUGUGCACACUUUGUAGUUCUUGGAUGGGUUUCUAACCUUGAUGAGAUCUACGUCCUUUACACACACACUUUGUAUGUUAAGAAUGUAUUAUAUGCGUAAUAACGCAACAAAUAACAACUUUCAACAACGGAUCUCUUGGCUCUCGCAUCGAUGAAGAACGCAGCGAAAUGCGAUAAGUAAUGUGAAUUGCAGAAUUCAGUGAAUCAUCGAAUCUUUGAACGCAUCUUGCGCCCUUUGGUAUUCCGAAGGGCAUGCCUGUUUGAGUGUCAUGAAUCUCUCAAACUCAAAAGUUUUUAUUACUUGAGAGUUUGGACUUGGGGGUUUUGCUGGCGUAAGUUAGCUCCCCUUAAAUGCAUUAGCUUGGGUCUUGUAUGUUGGAUCCUUGGUGUGAUAAUUAUCUACAUCAUGAUGUCCCUUCAAGCCCUGCUUCCAAUCGUCUCCUCUGUUGAGACAAUUUAAUUUGACAUCUGACCUCAAAUCAGGUAGGACUACCCGCUGAACUUAAGCAUAUCAAUAAGCGGAGGAAAAGAAACUAACAAGGAUUCCCCUAGUAACUGCGAGUGAAGCGGGAAAAGCUCAAAUUUAAAAUCUGGCGUGCUUAGUGCGUCCGAGUUGUAUUCUGGAGAAGCG
rnacentral:rRNA from 1 species